rnacentral:tRNA from 1 species
GCGCUCGUCGGGAGCGUGACCCGACGGGGACUUCGGAUCCCCAGACCCGGGUCCGAAUCCCGGUGGGUCCG